CUGCCAGUUUGGUGGAGAAAUUCUCAGGUUGCCCAGGGCAACGAGGGAGUGUCCUGGGGGCACUGUUCUAGAAGACUGGCCAGUGACCUGUGUGAUGUCACCAGGAAGCAGCUGAGUAGAGAGGUGGUUCCAGAGGCCCCUCUGGAAGGGCCCAGGACAGAGCGCUCUGAGGGCCCCAGGGCUGGCUCCGCCUUAAGAGGGAACCUCCUUUACAGUAGUCUCUCAGCAGGUGGCAAUAGGCAAUAGGCAUACUCGUCCCACCUGGAGCCGGAUCUAAGUGUUUGCCCAGGGUAGAAGGCCAGACUGGGACCAUGAGCUCCAUUUGACAGAUGAAGAAAAUAAGGCUCAGCAAGAAACAGAAGCCAUCCUUGGUGUCCUUGCGGAGGUCCCCUGGGUGUGGGACAGAAGGGGUGUGUUAUGUUAUACAUGGGCCAGGCUAUGUCCCUGGACAGGUCCCAGUUCCCCAGGCAGGCCUAUCAGAAGAGCCUCCCCACUCAGGAAAAGUCAUAACCCCUUCCCACCAUCCAAAGGGUGAUCCUAAGCGCUCCCCAGAGGCCCUCUAGUCCCAGGAGGUAGAAACUAUCCGGAGUCAGGAUGCUGAGGGCCCAGCUUUCAGAUCAAAAAAUAAGAAGAAACCAAAAGAAGGAGGUUGUGUGGGCUGCCAGGAAAGGGGCUCUUGUCCCAGUGCUGGAUUCCUUACCUUGGUAGAAGGGCCAGACAACUUUGUUCUUCCUGAAGACACACAAGGGCGCCUCUACCCCCACUGCUGUGGGCCUGAGCGCAGAGCCUCAGGCCCCUCUCUUCUGACAUGAGGAAAAGAAGCUGCCUGGGUUCAUCUGGAGCCUGGGGGUUGGGAAUGAAGCAGAGGAGUGUGCUCCCAUGGUAUUUUUAUCCUCUGCUGCCUCAGACUGAUGAAAACGGCCCUAGAAUCCUGCAGCAGCCACCACACCAAGAAGAGCUUCCCCAGCACACCUGCCCCAGCCUGUUGCCCCUGCUGAAAACAGAUAAGUGUUAAAGUAAGUUCUCUCCCAGAGAACUAGAUCCUUGAAAGUGAGAAGAAUCUUGGAUGUCUAGUUCUACAAACAUUUGCCUUUCAUGGCUCACCUGAGAAGGCUCCGUCUGCAACUAGAACUGAGUUUCCCAGGCCCUCCAUGCACCUAUCCCCAGAACCUCUAAGAGCAAGCACUGCAGAGAGAAACAGCUGGGAAGAGCCCAGCUCCACCCCUACAAGGGACAGAGAAACGUUCACUUCUCUGUGUGGGCAGCUGCCUGAUGCUGGUGGGUGGGAUGCUGUGCCUGGGGUACCACUUGGCUGCUCACCUGGCAGGGACAGUGGCUCCUACAGCCUCAACUCAGUGAGCAUCACUCCCUCUCCUCAUCAUCCAGCCAGUCCAGCUGCCACUGGCCCCAGCUGGUCACCCAAAUGUCCAAUUCCUGCAAGGCUCUGAAACGAAGCCCCAGGUCCUCCCACUCCUCCCCAUCCAGAGUCUAGCCCCUUAGCACUACCCCCCUCACCUGUCACACUCUAUUAUGCUAGGACUCUGGCUGUGUGACUUUCUCUGACCUGUUGUCCCAUUUGUAAAAACCCUGCAGUGAAAUUAGUAGAAUGUCAUUACACCAAAACACCCACAAAACCCACCACCCUGCUACGAGGAUCAAAAUAAGGGAGGUGAUGAAGGGGUCUGUGCUUGAUAAACCAUAAUAAAAAGGACAACAGAAAGAACGCAAAACCUUUAGGCGACCCCUUAUUUCACUGCUCUCUUCGCGGAGGCGCCCCCACGUGUUGAUCCCGAGACGCUCCGUUAGCGCAGGCGCUCUUCGGUGUUUACAGGGGCCGCGAGGGCCAGCCUUUGCGCGUGCGCCUGCCGCCAGGGGCCGUCCAAUGGCCUAGGCUGCUUUCAGUAGGACGCGCCUCCUUAGCGCUUGUGGCAGUCCGGUCACAAGGGUUCCCUGGCGCCCCCAUGCGUCCCACUCUGGGUGAGGCAACCCCGCAGCCGCAGAGCGGCGGAGAUUUGAGAAGUGGCAGGAAGAGGCCCCGCGCCCCUGCUAUCCUUCUUUUCUGGGGACUCCAGCAUCUCAGCCCCCACUCCGCUCCGCUAAACCUCGGUAGUCAGCUCUGAUAUCCGUCACAGCAGACAUGGCGGACACGGUGCCGUGGACCGCCGAGACCCGCGCGCUGCCUUAUGGGAGUCGUAGUUUAAGCCUAGAACCCUUCUGGAGUUGGAACACUUUAAAAACUACAUUUCCCAGAAGCCAAAAGAGCCAGAGUCGCUGAAGACAGCUCGGGGCAUGCUGGGGGAUGGAGUUUGGCGACCAGGGUUUGCGGGAGCAGGGAGAUGCGGUGAAGCAGGAGCGCCCAGUGGUCGGAGGCUUGUGGGCUCCAGGCACGCGACACCCUGUGGUUCCUCUGGUGUAUUGUCUUCCUCAUAGCAUGGGUCAAUAAACCUGACUUCGUUGGACUAUGGGUUUGUCUCUGGUGGUCUUCAGCUGAUUGGGCUAGGACACCCUGAAAUACAGUUCUCCAGAUGCUGCAACAAGCCCCCUCUUCAUUGCAUACUCUUUGGAUGACCCCAUUCACUUCCAUCCAUAUGCUGAUGAUCCCCCCGCCCCCCCAAAAUACCCCUCCAGCUCAAGAAUUUCUCCUUCUUCUGGGACAUCUGCUUCUGGUUUUGGUUUCAGUUUUGAAACCACUCCUCACUGCUGUGUUCAAGUUAAGAACUAGGCUCUGAAUACCUCUGACAAGAAGAUGGGUGGGGACACUCCUCACCUGGAUCAGAUAUCUCCUCAAAACUGCAUCACACUGAAUCAGCUGCAUUUCACAUAGGAUCCCUGGGUGGCUCAGCGGUUUAGCGCCUGCCUUCGGCCCAUGGCCUGAUCUUGGAGUC